GAUCUAGCCAUGGGCAGGUUGAAGGUUGAGUAACAUCAACUGGAGGACCGAACCGACUAAUGUUGAAAAAUUAGCGGAUGACUUGUGGCUAGGGGUGAAAGGCCAAUCAAACCUGGAGAUAGCUGGUUCUCCCCGAAAGCUAUUUAGGUAGCGCCUCGGACGAAUACUACUGGGGGUAGAGCACUGUUAAGGCUAGGGGGUCAUCCCGACUUACCAACCCUUUGCAA
rnacentral:rRNA from 1 species